UCCUGAGUGGCUCAGUUGGUUGAGCACCUGACUUUGGCUCAGGUCAUGAUCUCACUGUUGGUGAGCUCAAGCCCCACCUCAGGUU
rnacentral:tRNA from 1 species